rnacentral:rRNA from 1 species
UACGUAGGGUGCGAGCGUUAAUCGGAAUUACUGGGCGUAAAGCGUGCGCAGGCGGUUUUGUAAGCCAGAUGUGAAAGCCCCGGGCUUAACCUGGGAAUGGCAUUUGGGACUGCAAGGCUUGAGUGCGGCAGAGGAGACUGGAAUUCAUGGUGUAGCAGUGAAAUGCGUAGAUAUCAGGAGGAACACCAAUUGCGAAGGCAGCUCGCUGGGACGUUACUGACGCUGAGACGCGAAAGCGUGGGGAGCAAACAGG